AUACUUACCUGGCAGGGGAGAUACCAUGAUCACGAAGGUGGUUUUCCCAGGGUGAGGCUCAUCUAUUGCACUGCGGGUGUGCUGACCCCUGCGAUUUCCCCAAAUGCGGGAAACUCGACUGCAUAAUUUGUGGUAGUGGGGGACUGCGUUCGCGCUCUCCCCUG
rnacentral:snRNA from 1 species